GCAAGUGGUAGGAAACCGAAAGGCGACCGACCCUUCGGGAGCUUGCACAGGUGCUGCAUGGCUGUCGUCAGCUCGUGUCGUGAGAUGUUCGGUUAAGUCCGCUAACGAGCGCAACCCUCACUGUGUGUUACAAGUGUCACACGGGACUGCCGGUUUUAAGCCGGAGGAAGGCGAGGAUGACGUCAAGUCAGCAUGGCCUUUAUGUCCUGGGCUACACACACGCUACAAUGGUCGGUACAACAGGUUGCCAAGCCGCGAGGCGGAGCCAAUCCCUAAAGCCGGCCUCAGUUCAGAUUGUAGGCUGCAACUCGCCUGCAUGAAGCUGGAGUUGCUAGUAACCGCAGGUCAGCUAUACUGCGGUGAAUACGUUCCCGGGUCUU
rnacentral:rRNA from 1 species